CCUUAAAAAGGCCCUAGCAUCUCUUUCUAAAAUUUCAAUUCCCGCUGCUGCACACUCUCCCUCUCUCCCCAACGGCGUCAUCGUUGCUCAUUCUCCCAUGCCGCCCGACACCGACACCGACGCUGACUGAUUUCCACUGCUUUUGCGACGCUGCCGACACCGACUUGCAGCGAUACUCAAGCUCGACUCCUCUCCUCUUGUUGCCGAUCGUUGCUGCGAGUCACAAGUGAUUAAUCAAAAGAGUUAAAGAAGAAGAAUGUUGCAGUGUAAAGUAAAUAUUGUGCAGAUGAAAUUAUCCAAGGCUAAGUAGUGAUAGUACUUGCACCACAAAGAGGAACAGAAGUAGUACCAGCAUGAGGUCCCGCUAUGGAAAUGUAAUUCUCAAGUACUGUCACUAGCAUCAUUAAUGAGCAGAAUCCACAAAAGGGUGUCAUUGUUAAGAUGUCAAAUAAUGUUAAGACGUCCUCAGGCUCUGAGAAUUGUUUGCUCUCUGUAUCUGUCAUUUGCAAUUCAAAUGGUGCUCAAGGACCACGUUCACUGAAGAAAUUAGGGACCUGCGAUUAUGUAAGUCAUUUUGAUGUAUAAUGCCUUGCAAUUGGUGAACCAGGUUUUUUUCAGUAUGCAGUACUGCAACAUCCUUCUGGUUGUGCCAUAGUUGUAUCUAUUCAUGGGAAAGGAUAGGGCUGGUUUGACACCUUGUUAAUCAUUAUCCUAUGCCUUUUUGGAGGGUAUAUGUUGGUUGGUGCAGUUUAUCAAUAUUUCUUCUUUGGGAGCUUUUCAGUAUCUCAUUUUGAGGGAGCUUCUCAAAUUACGGUGCCCUUAGAGGAAGUGGCACAAAAGCUAGAAGAAAUUUGGAACAAAUUAAAUAAGAGCUAGAAGAGUUGUGGGUGAUACAAAAAGAGUUAAAAAGAAGAGAUCAUAUCCACAUUGAGGAACAAUAAAGGAAUUUCGCUACAUCAUACCACUUUAAACUCCAUCUCUUCAUCAGAUAAUCUAAAAGAUUGAUUGUGAUGUUUUAUGUAUUAUUAUUUUAAGAUAUUAUUUGUUAUGGAUUUCUUCUAAAUUUUGAAUUUUAUAUACAUUAUUAAA